UCGCAAUUCCAAUAUCCAGUGCAUCGUUGCAUAUCAGUCAGUACACAUAUCCGACAAUUUACCGCAAUGACGGAUUCAAAUUUCGAUGAAUCUUUGAAUAUUGAAACUUUUAUCGAAGAAAUUGAAAACUAUCUAGAGAUUUGAAAUCUCAUUGCAAAAUAUUAUCACGAGAAAAAAAAGUGUGUGGAUAAAUAGUUUGUCGUGUUUUCUGUGAAAAUUUUGAUGAAAAUUGAACGAGAUUCGUAAGAAUGAAAUAUCUUACUCGUGGCAGUGCAACAACGAUAUUAGCAUUCCCUUCGCCUCUGUAAACACAGUCCUCGAUGGAGAAUGUCGAUGAAAGAGGGGAAGUUGUCCGGGAAUCGCCAUCGAAAUUUCCGGUGGAAGUGGUCAUCGAUUCUGGAGGAAAGGCAGUGGUCGCCACAGGAUUUCCUUCGUUGAUUUUCAUUGUUUUAUCUUUAUCCCUGCGAAAAGAAAUAAAAAUUCUCAUUAAAAUAUUCGUA